AUGGCGAAUCAGUUGGGAAAUCUGGUUGAGUCGAUAAAGUCGAAGGUUCGGUCAACACUGAAGAUGAAGAAGGGAAAGAAACCAUACAUAAAGAUCGAUAAGAGUGCAAGCGUGAAGGUGGAGAUUCGAAGCAGAAAAGCUCGUAAGAUCAUUGAGAAGACGUUGAAAGCUGCUGAUAAUCCCGGCAAGCAUAACAUCACUGUAUAA